UACGUAGGUGGCAAGCGUUGUCCGGAUUUACUGGGCGUAAAGAGCGCGCAGGCGGUCGUUCAAGUCGCGUGUGAAAGCCCCCGGCUCAACUGGGGAGGGUCACGCGAUACUGAUCGACUCGAAGGCAGGAGAGGGUAGUGGAAUUCCCGGUGUAGUGGUGAAAUGCGUAGAUAUCUGGAGGAACACCCGUGGUGCAGACGGCUUGCUGGACCGUGACUGACGCUGAGGCACGAAAGCGUGGGUAGCAAACAGG
rnacentral:rRNA from 1 species